CCUUCCAAACUGGAGGAGAGAUAUCCCUUGUCUCAUGGGAGUUACAUGUGGAGGAUGUCAGCAAGGAGAAUCUCCAAGAUACCACAAAAAGUUCCCUCUGAGAGAAACAAUCAGCCUUGAGCAUGUGUAAGCCAGAGAGCACCAGAAUCAGAACACCAUAACCCCAGCCAGAUAAAGGCUUCUGGCGUGGAAUAGGCCAAGCAGGAGAGGAGGAAGCCAUGAUGUUGGUUGAAGUCGUGAAUUUCAAUCAUGAUACUGGACAUGAUAGUUUACAGAAACGAGGGUAUAAUUAGAUGAAAGUAACCAGACAACUCUUCAUUGUCUCAGAGUGACCAGAAAAGCUCUGGAAGACGCCAGAGACUUCAUCUAGGUCAGGGGAAGAAAUAAUCCAUAGAGAUGAUUUCAAGGUAACGGAUAAUGUUUUCUGUUUGUGCCUUAUCAAGUUCAGCUCACUUAAUAUACUGCUUUAAUAAUUAUAGAUAUUUGUAUGUAUGUAUUGCAAUGUCCUCGGUAAUGCAAAUUGGGAUAUGUGAAUUGGGGUAUGUGAUUGGCUCCUCUCCUUGGCAGGUAGAAUAACAUCAGGCAGAGAAACAGCAGCCAGGCCCUUCACCAAACCAAAAGAUAGAGGAUGGGUGCCUUUCAGUCUGGUAUUUUGCUGGUCUAGUCUCCCCAAGAAUAGAUUGAUUUAAUGGUUGCCUACUAACUGGGAGAUUCCUAGGAACCCUGGCCUGGUCCCAGAAACCAGGACAGACACCACCAGGUGGCACCAAACUGUAGCCAAACUGAGAAGAGAUUGGACUGGACCCUAAAAACUCCCAGCCUGGGCUUUUGUUCAUUUGUCUGCAUUUAUACAAAUGGACGUGAGACAUUUAAGGCGGGUGAUGGAAGUCUUCAACAGUUGGAUUGUGGUGCUGGUUGCACAGGUCUGUAAAUCAUUGAAUUGUUCACUUAGUGAAUUUUAUGAUAUUUAAAUUAUACCUUAAUAAAGCUGCUUAAAAAAUUAUAAUUCAAAAA